CACGAAACAAGUUGAGCUAAUAAAAAAUAUUGAUAGGGUUUAUAUAUGUUGUAUAAUGUUUAAUAAUUUUUUAUUAGGGGUGAAACGUUUUUCAAAUCUUGUGAUAACUUGAUAUUUUCAAAACGUAUUAAGUACUUAGACAACUAAAAAGUGCCAAGAUUUUUUAGCAAAAUUAAAUGAUUAAAUAAUUAAUUACAAAAUUUAACAAUUUGUUACUUUUAAACUAAACAUACAUUUAUAUUAAUUAUUUUUAAUAGAAAAUUAUUUUAAAAUUAAUACUAUAAUAUAUAAUGUUAUUAUAAGUAGUAUAUAGAUAUUAAUAAUGAACUCGGCAAAAAAUUUUUCAACUGUUUAUCAAAAACAUAGCUAUUAGAAUAAAUUAAUAGUGUGUUCUGCUCAAUGAAUAUUAAAUAGCCGCAGUACCCUGACUGUGCAAAGGUAGCAUAAUCAGUUGGCUUAUAAUUGAAGUCUUGUAUGAACGAAUGUAUGGGGAAUAGCUGUAUCAUUAAUAUAGCAUGAAAUUGCUAAGUAAGUGCAAAUUCUUAUAAAUAAAUAAUAGACGAGAAGACCCUAGAAAUUUUGAGGAAACUGUAUUAAAUGAUUUUUGUUGGGGCAACAAUGUAACAAGUAACUUACAUUUAAUAACAUGAAAUAAAUUUGUUAGAUUAAAUUACUCUAGGGAUAACAGCGUAAUGUAUUAACGUUUGCGACCUCGAUGUUGGACUAGGAAACGAAUACUUAA
rnacentral:rRNA from 1 species